CACCUAUCUGUAUUCAUCAUGGUUUCAGCGUCUUCCUUCUGGAAGGCUUCCUCCUCUCUCUUCUUGCAUGUGGCACACACAGCAUAUGUCUUCAAUGCUUCUAUCGCAAUAUGAGUGAAACUCAUAUCUUAAUUUCAUAUGCAAGUCUCCUCCCCCCCUCCUCCUUAACUUCCACAUCCCCUCCUUCUACUCAGCCCUCCUCCUCUCCCUCCACAACCAUAUCACCAUUAGCUGGUGCCACUCUGAGCUCAUAAGAAUAUUCAGUAAAUACCUGUUGAAUUGAAAUGAAUGAAACUGAAUAGAUUGGGAGGAGGAGGCCUGGGGAAGGUGGCCAAUCGCUCAGUUGCCCCACACAAGAGCACAAACCACCAUUGUGACACAGGGCCCUAGAGUCUAAAAGUAAAUGAGUAGGGCUCAUGGUAUCAACGAAGAGUGGAAAUUCCACGCCAGCUCCACCAGACCACGGGUUUAGCUCAAACACAACUCCUGGCCAAGGCUGCAUGAAGCUGCACUAUGGUUUUCUAUACCAAGUUGUAAGUUUCAAAGCAGAAAAAUACCUUAGAGGAAGCCAGCCCCGACACUGUACAGAGAAGGAACCAGGCUCAGGAAGUGCCUAUCCGUGGCUGCCUUUGUUAGCUUGUUUGCUGUGAUACAAAAUGAAGCUGAUCCAUUAAUCAUGGAAGAGCUGAAUCCAGAAACAUAUUACCAUGCACUUUUAAAAAAAUAAACAUUAUUUUAAGAAGA